UACGUAGGGGGCGAGCGUUGUCCGGAGUUACUGGGCGUAAAGGGCAUGCAGGCGGUCGGACGCGUUUCGGGUGACAGCGGGUGGCUUAACUACCCGAGUGGUCGAAAGACGGUUUGACUUGAGGACGCGAGAGGGACACGGAAUUCCGGGUGGAGUGGUGAAAUGCGUAGAGAUCCGGAGGAACACCGAAGGCGAAGGCAGUGUCCUGGCGCGUAACUGACGCUCAUGUGCGAAAGCUAGGGGAGCGAACGGG
rnacentral:rRNA from 1 species